rnacentral:rRNA from 1 species
UGGCGGACGGGUGAGUAACGCGUGGAAAACCUGCCGUAUACUGGGGGAUAACACUUAGAAAUAGGUGCUAAUACCGCAUAAGCGCACAGCUUCGCAUGAAGCGGUGUGAAAAACUCUGGUGGUAUACGAUGGUUCCGCGUCUGAUUAGCUAGUUGGUGGGGUAAUGGCCUACCAAGGCAACGAUCAGUAGCCGGCCUGAGAGGGUGAACGGCCACAUUGGGACUGAGACACGGCCCAGACUCCUACGGAAGGCAGCAG